AUUGAACGCUGGCGGCAGGCCUAACACAUGCAAGUCGAACGAGUGGCGGACGGGGGAGUAAUGUCUGGGAAACUGCAUGAUGGAGGGGGAUAAAUACUGGCAACGGUAGCUAAUACCGCAUAACAUAAGAUGUGCCCAGAUGGGAUUCGCUGGUUGGUGGGGUAACGGCUCCACACGGCGACGAUCCCUAGCUGGUCUGAGAGGAUGACCACCAACACUGGAACGGAGACACGGUCCCGACUCCUCAGGGCUGCAGCAGUGGCGAAUAUUGCACUAUGGGCGCAAGCCUGAUGCAGCCAUGCCGCGUGGAGGAAGAAGGCCGUCGGGUUGUAAAGUACUGUCGGCGGGGAGGCGUUACCCGCAGAAGAAGCACCGGCUAACUCCGUGCCAGCAGCCGCGGUAAGAC
rnacentral:rRNA from 1 species